UACGUAGGGGGCUAGCGUUGUCCGGAAUCAUUGGGCGUAAAGCGCGCGUAGGCGGCCCUGUAAGUCCGCUGUGAAAGUCAAAGGCUCAACCUUUGAAAGCCGGUGGAUACUGCAGGGCUAGAGUCCGGAAGAGGCGAGUGGAAUUCCUGGUGUAGCGGUGGAAUGCGCAGAUAUCAGGAGGAACACCAACGGCGAAGGCAGCUCGCUGGGACGGUACUGACGCUGAGGCGCGAAAGCGUGGGGAGCGAACAGGAUUAGAAACCCCCGUAGUCC
rnacentral:rRNA from 1 species